CGCCUCCGGGCCAACGACCGGAAGUGCUUCGGCGGUCUACAGCUUGGCUGCAAGUGUUGGCGGUCCUGCCUUUUGCAGGCCUCAGCGGGAUGAUAAAAAAAGCUUUACAAUAUUUUUAAAACAGAAGAUGGUCAUUGUGUUGGAGCUUUGUGAUGAAUGGGAAACAUAGUGAAACAUGAGGUACAAGACAUAAUGGUAUAUAGAUCAUGCAGGACAUUGAAAACUAUGAUACGCUUUUUAAAAUAAACGAUUACUCUAACAACAUGCUAGAGGUACUCUCAGGGAUCCAGAAGGUGAAAGAGCCAUGACCACCGCCACAGACACGUUGAAAAGUUAUUUCUGCCUGCUCCCAUACUUUUAGUUUCAAGCUUCUGGAUAGAACUGAACAAUGUCAACAAAUCUGGUGAUGAAGCACAGAUUAAGUCUUUAAAAUAUCUUAAUUUUACAGUCCC